rnacentral:rRNA from 1 species
UGGUGGAGUGAUUUGUCUGGUUAAUUCCGUUAACGAACGAGACCUCGACCUGCUAAAUAGUGGGGCUCAGGCUUGUCCUGGGUGCUUACUUCUUAGAGGGACUAUCGGUUCUUAGCCGAAGGAAGUUCGAGGCAAUAACA